rnacentral:rRNA from 1 species
AGUGAACGCCGGCGGUAGGCCUAACACAUGCAAGUCGAACGGCAGCACAGUAAGAGCUUGCUCUUACGGGUGGCGAGUGGCGGACGGGUGAGGAAUACAUCGGAGUCUACUUUUUCGUGGGGGAUAACGUAGGGAAACUUACGCUAAUACCGCAUACGACCUACGGGUGAAAGCAGGGGAUCUUCGGACCUUGCGCGAUUGAAUGAGCCGAUGUCGGAUUAGCUAGUUGGCGGGGUAAAGGCCCACCAAGGCGACGAUCCGUAGCUGGUCUGAGAGGAUGAUCAGCCACACUGGAACUGAGACACGGUCCAGACUCCUACGGGAGGCAGCAGUGGGGAAUAUUGGACAAUGGGCGCAAGCCUGAUCCAGCCAUACCGCGUGGGUGAAGAAGGCCUUCGGGUUGUAAAGCCCUUUUGUUGGGAAAGAAAAGCAGCAGGUUAAUACCCCGCUGUUCUGACGGUACCCAAAGAAUAAGCACCGGCUAACUUCGUG